AUACGGAGGGUGCAAGCGUUACUCGGAAUCACUGGGCGUAAAGCGCGCGCAGGCGGGCUGAUAAGUUGGAUGUGAAAGCCUACGGCUCAACCGUAGAACUGCAUCCAAAACUGUCAGUCUAGAGUGUGGGAGAGGAAGAUGGAAUUAGUUGUGUAGGGGUAAAAUCCGUAGAGAUAACUAGGAAUACCAAAAGCGAAGGCAAUCUUCUGGAACACUACUGACGCUGAGGCGCGAAGGCGUGGGGAGCAAACAGGAUUAGAAACCCGUGUAGUCC
rnacentral:rRNA from 1 species